CGGGCAUGUCCCGCACACGGGCGGGCAAGGCCCGGCCCGCCGGGGCCAGGAAGGGCCGGCGGCCCCGCAACCCCUCCGCGGGACCGGCCCCGGGCCCUUCACCAGGCGGCGGCGGCCUCGCCGAGCAGCUCCGGGCCCUCGGCCUUAAGCUGCGGGAGGUGCCGGGCGAUGGCAACUGCUUGUUUCGGGCCCUGGGUGACCAGCUCGAGGGGCACUCCAGGAACCACCUGAGGCAUCGGCAGGAAACGGUGGAGUACAUGGUGAAGCAGAGGGAGGACUUUGAGCCAUUUGUGGAGGAUGAUGUGCCCUUUGAGAAACAUGUUACCAAUUUGGCCAAGCCUGGGACCUUUGCUGGCAAUGAUGCUAUUGUGGCCUUUGCAAGGAACAAUCAAAUCAACGUGGUUAUUCAUCAGCUCUAUGCUCCACUGUGGCAGAUCCGGGGCACAGACAAGAGCAAUGCGAGGGAGCUGCACAUCGCCUAUCGUCACGGGGAGCACUACGACAGCGUGAGGAGGAUCGACGAUGACUCGGAAGCUCCAGCGUAUCUUCAGAUGGAGAUGCUUUGCAAAAACAAUGCAAAUAAGACAGAGGAAGUGAAGCCACAGAAGGGUGACUCUGAGGAUGAGACUGAAGUGGAAGAUGCUGUACAAAAAGUGUGCGAUGCAACAGGGUGUUCAGACAUGGAUUUAGUAAGCCACGUCCUGGAAGUAGAGGAUUACAACAUAGAAUCUGCAAUAUUUGCCAUCUUACAAGUGAAGGAAGGAGAAGGAACAGGUACUGAGGAGCAGCAGGAACCCCAGAGCAGGGAUCAGAAGUCCUGCAGCAAAACACUGUGGGAGGAGAAUGGAAGUGGUUCAAGAAUCUUUGGAAAUCAGAGCUUGCAUCGAAGUGAAACAGGAAACAACAAAGGACAGGCUGGAUCCAGUGAAGAGAACCAAGCCACCAGGAACCAAAAGGCAGCUAAAAAACAGAAGAAGGAGCAGCAGAGGCUGGAGAAGAAGAAGCGGCAGGAGGAGAGGCACCGGCAGAAGGUCUUGGCCACGAAGAACAACUGUGCAGACGACAGGACAGAGACAGACCCCACCAACCACAUCACCUUGGUGAAGACCAUGGCAGCCCUAAACAUCUGACUCAGUGUGUGCUGAGUACUCUGAGGAGAAAAGCAAAUAAAACUGAUGAAGACAAAACCCCCUGAGCAAAUUUCGAGGCACCACCAUUUGUUACCUUAAAAUCGGUUUCUGCAGAGGUUUCCAAGGACAAGAGAAAUUCCUGUUCCUUUGGUUGUGGGGAAGACAGUUUCUCAGUGAUUCUGUGUCAACCUGUGUGUGAGAAGAGUUGUUUGAACUUAAAAAGUAGAGACUUGGGUUUAUAAUUUUGGAGUUAGAUGAAGGUGAGAACCUUUUUUUCACAUAGCAGUGUCACAUUUGCUUUGACAUCUCUUGAUGUCCCUGGAUUUUUUUUUUACUUGCUUAUGCUUGGAGAAGCUUUAUUUUACUUUUCUGUCAGGGAAAGCUUAGCAAAUCUCAGCUCAGGAACAACUUUGGUGGGGGGUUUUCUAUUAAAUUUAAAUGAAGUGAACAAAGUCUCAGAAUCCUUUCCAAAGCAAAGUGUGUCAGCCAGGAUUGUCUCAAACAUGACAUUCCUCUUUUCUUUGCCAGGAAGGAAUGCAGUGACAAGUUUUAAUCUCACUAGAACUGUUGGCCUUGUACUGGGCUGGUUCAGAAGUGAUUAAUACAUGAAGGGAGAAUGGGAUUGCUGCAUCCAUGCUUGCUGAAGUUUGGGACCAGCUCCUUUGCUACCUGAGACCUGUAGAGAGAAAUAAACCCACCCAAAAUAAUAAUACCAGUGGACUCAUGAGACUGCAGAGCCAACUCAUCUGGUGAUGGUUGAUGAGGCUGUAGAAUGUAACAGGAGCAGGCAGGAGAUUUCUGGAGGAAGGGGAGGCGAGAAAUGAGAGCAGAGGCACAUCAUGAUUCAUAGCUCAUGUUUACUCGUUGGUGGAGCUUCAUAAUCCAUGGUCCAAGGAUGGACAGUAAGCACUGGAUAUUCCCUUGGGAUCUGAGGAGGAUGACUCUUUUGUUAUGAGCUGCUGGCUGACAUCUCUGAGGGUGUUUUGUCUGCUGCCGGAUCAGCAGUGGGGUCACCAUCAACCUCUCAAGGGCGAGUACACAGCAGGAUGAUGUAGUACAGCCGCUUUCCCUGCAUCCUAUCUACCUACAUCAUCUUCUCUGGACUUAUUUUUCCCAAAUCCUGCCCCUGCAGGCAGGAGUUCAGUUGCACUGGAAGUUUUAACAUUUAGCCAGGUUUUGGAUGACCUCUGUAAGUGUUUCUACGUAUGGAAGGGUUUUCUGCCUGUGCUGCUCUGUGUCUCCCAUCCAUUUUUCCUUCUUGGGAGCUUCCUUUUAGUUAUCUCACAGCUUUGCCAUGACAUUUGUGGUAUCCACAUCUGCAGGGCUUCAGGAACGGCAGGACAGGAAGGAAAUUGUGCAUGAAAAACAUUCCAUACUCCAGUGUUGGAUAUAAGAGAGAUGAUUUGUGCUGGUAUUGAGCUGUGGGGUCUUUCCUUGGUGCUGCCUGGUUGCAGGAACCAGAUUUAGAGGGCAGCAUUGGCUCUGUCCCAGCUCUUCUCUCAAAAUCCUUUAGUGGCUAUAGAAAAUGAGUAGAAAUUAGUAUUUUGGAGUUAUAAAGAUACCACAUAUACUGUGGGAACGUGAGGGUGGGGUGGAGGUAUUGCUUGUGGUGACACACUGGAGUCAGGCAGGAGCCCUCUGGUGCUGAGGUGAAACUCAAAGAAAUUACCCUUAAAACUCCUUUAUUUUAAGCAGAACACGUCUCCAGAGGCAGCCUUAAAGAUAGAGGUGCCUCCAUCAAGGCUUGGGGCUGUGGGACAGCCGGCCCUGGCUUGUUAGAGGUAAUUAGGGCUUAUUUGGGAUCAUGUGCAGUUCUGGUGAGGGAUGAGGUAGCUGCAGGGAGUGGCAGCCUGAGGAGACCUGUCUGGACUUGCUGGAGAUGGGGUGCAAGAAAAGAUCACACUAAACCCCUGAGACCCCACUAUUGGACUGCCCCAUGCCUGCAGUGAUGUUAAUUGCUUAAAUGCUCGUUAGGAACAGGCUGGGGCUGGAUUGAGGCCAAGCUCUCAGAGGGAAGUUGGGGUUGAAGCCUAGUUUGGGGUGCAGCAGCCACUCUUUCUGUGGUCAUUUUUUUUUUCUCUGUAGCUUUUAAGACUUACUGUGUGGCUGCUAAAAUGUCACUUCUGCUCAAUCUUUUAAGAAAAAGAUGCUAAACUUUGUGCAGGUGUAAAUAUUGACUUCAGAAAAACAACUCUGAGGCUCUGUGCUGCUUCCUACCCUUCCACCACUGAUUCCCCAAAUACAACCCUGGA